rnacentral:rRNA from 1 species
GAUGAACGCCGGCGGCGUGCCUAAUACAUGCAAGUCGAGCGAAUGGAUUAAGAGCUUGCUCUUAUGAAGUUAGCGGCGGACGGGUGAGUAACACGUGGGUAACCUGCCCAUAAGACUGGGAUAACUCCGGGAAACCAGGGGCUAAUACCGGAUAACAUUUUGAACCGCAUGGUUCGAAAUUGAAAGGCGGCUUCGGCUGUCACUUAUGGAUGGACCCGCGUCGCAUUAGCUAGUUGGUGAGGUAACGGCUCACCAAGGCAACGAUGCGUAGCCGGCCCGAGAGGGGGACCGGCCAGACGGGGACCGAGACACGGCCCAGACUCCUACGGGAGGCAGCAGUAGGGAAUCUUCCGCAAUGGACGAAAGUCGGACGGAGCAACGCCGCGUGGGUGAUGAAGGCUUUCGGGUCGUAAAACUCUGUUGUUAGGGAAGAACAAGUGCUAGUUGAAUAAGCUGGCACCUUGACGGUACCUAACCAGAAAGCCACGGCUAACUACGUGCCAGCCGCCGCUGUAA